rnacentral:rRNA from 1 species
GAUGAACGCUCGCGGGAGGCCUAACACAUGCAAGCCGAGCGGUAUGGGUAGCUUGCUACCCAGAGAGCGGCGUACGGGUGCGUAACACGUGUGCAACCUGCCCCUAUCCGGGGGAUAGCCCUCCGAAAGGAGGAUUAAUACCCCAUAAUAUAUCUGGUGGCAUCACUAGAUAUUGAAAACCCCGGUGGAUAGGGAUGGGCACGCGCAAGAUUAGAUAGUUGGCGGGGUAACGGCCCACCAAGUCGAUGAUCUUUAGGGGUCCUGAGAGGGAGAUCCCCCACACUGGUACUGAGACACGGACCAGACUCCUACGGGAGGCAGCAGUGAGGAAUAUUGGACAAUGGGUGGAAGCCUGAUCCAGCCAUCCCGCGUGAGGGACGACGGCCCUAUGGGUUGUAAACUUCUUUUGUACGGGGAUAAACCUAUCUACGUGUAGAUAGCUGAAGGUACCGUACGAAUAAGCACCGGCUAACUCCGUG